rnacentral:rRNA from 1 species
UACGUAGGGUGCAAGCGUUUAAUCGGAAUUACUGGGCGUAAAGCGUGCGCAGGCGGUUUUGUAAGUCUGUCGUGAAAUCCCCGGGCUCAACCUGGGAAUUGCGAUGGAGACUGCAAGGCUAGAAUCUGGCAGAGGGGGGUAGAAUUCCACGUGUAGCAGUGAAAUGCGUAGAGAUGUGGAGGAACACCGAUGGCGAAGGCAGCCCCCUGGGUCAAGAUUGACGCUCAUGCACGAAAAGCGUGGGGAGCAAACGAGG